AAACCAACAGGGAUUGCCUUAGUAACGGCGAGUGAAGCGGCAAAAGCUCAAAUUUGAAAUCGGCCAACAGGUCGAGUUGUAAUUUGUAGAUUGUACCUUGAGAGCGGAUUAAAGUCUGUUGGAACACAGCGCCUUAGAGGGUGACAGCCCCGUAAAAAUCUAUUCUCAUUUGUAAGGUACUUUCGAAGAGUCGAGUUGUUUGGGAAUGCAGCUCUAAGUGGGAGGUAAAUUCCUUCUAAAGCUAAAUAUUGACGAGAGACCGAUAGCGAACAAGUACUGUGAAGGAAAGAUGAAAAGCACUUUGAAAAGAGAGUGAAAAAGUACGUGAAAUUGUUAAAAGGGAAGGGUAUUGAAUCAGACGUGGUACUGUUGUUCAACUUUGUUUCGGCAUGGUGUAUUCAGCAGUUACUAGGCCAAGGUGGGGUGUUUGGGAGUGAAAAAGAAAUAGGAAUGUAGCUCUUCGGAGUGUUAUAACCUGUUUUCAUAGCUCCUCAGGCGCCUCAGGACUGCGCUUCGGCAAGGACUUUGGCAUAAUGAUUCUAUACCGC
rnacentral:rRNA from 1 species